AUUGAACGCUGGCGGCAGGCCUAACACAUGCAAGUCGAGCGGAUGAAGGGAGCUUGCUCCUGGAUUCAGCGGCGGACGGGUGAGUAAUGCCUAGGAAUCUGCCUGGUAGUGGGGGAUAACGUCCGGAAACGGGCGCUAAUACCGCAUACGUCCUGAGGGAGAAAGUGGGGGAUCUUCGGACCUCACGCUAUCAGAUGAGCCUAGGUCGGAUUAGCUAGUUGGUGGGGUAAAGGCCUACCAAGGCGACGAUCCGUAACUGGUCUGAGAGGAUGAUCAGUCACACUGGAACUGAGACACGGUCCAGACUCCUACGGGAGGCAGCAGUGGGGAAUAUUGGACAAUGGGCGAAAGCCUGAUCCAGCCAUGCCGCGUGUGUGAAGAAGGUCUUCGGAUUGUAAAGCACUUUAAGUUGGGAGGAAGGGCAGUAAGUUAAUACCUUGCUGUUUUGACGUACCAACAGAAUAAGCACCGCA
rnacentral:rRNA from 1 species